CCUACGGGAGGCAGCAGUGGGGAAUAUUGGACAAUGGGCGAAAGCCUGAUCCAGCAAUGCCGCGUGAGUGAUGAAGGCCUUCGGGUCGUAAAGCUCUUUUACCAGGGAUGAUAAUGACAGUACCUGGAGAAUAAGCUCCGGCUAACUCCGUGCCAGCAGCCGCGGUAAUACGGAGGGAGCUAGCGUUGUUCGGAAUUACUGGGCGUAAAGAGUACGUAGGCGGUUAUUCAAGUCAGAGGUGAAAGCCCGGGGCUCAACCCCGGAACUGCCUUUGAAACUAGAUAACUAGAGUCUUGGAGAGGUUAGUGGAAUUCCGAGUGUAGAGGUGAAAUUCGUAGAUAUUCGGAAGAACACCAGUGGCGAAGGCGACUAACUGGACAAGUACUGACGCUGAGGUACGAAAGCGUGGGGAGCAAACAGGAUUAGAUACCCUGGUAGUCCACGCCGUAAACGAUGAUAACUAGUUGUUCGGUCACUUGGUGACUGAGUGGCGCAGCUACGACAUUAAGUUAUUCCGUCCGUCGGGUAGGUACGGUCGGCGAAGAAUUAAACUAACAAAGAAGUUAGUACGGCGUGAGACGUGCCGAACGACGACGACGAGGGAGGUAGG
rnacentral:rRNA from 1 species